rnacentral:rRNA from 1 species
ACGAAGGGGGCUAGCGUUGUUCGGAAUCACUGGGCGUAAAGCGCACGUAGGCGGAUCUUUAAGUCAGGGGUGAAAUCCCGAGGCUCAACCUCGGAACUGCCUUUGAUACUGGGGAUCUCGAGUCCGGAAGAGGUAAGUGGAACUGCGAGUGUAGAGGUGAAAUUCGUAGAUAUUCGCAAGAACACCAGUGGCGAAGGCGGCUUACUGGUCCGGAACUGACGCUGAGGUGCGAAAGCGUGGGGAGCAAACAG